CUCAAAGGAAUUGACGGGGGCCCGCACAAGCGGAGGAACAUGUGGUUUAAUUCGAUGAUACGCGAGGAACCUUACCCGGGCUUAAAUUGCAGAUGAAUUACGGUGAAAGCCGUAAGCCGCAAGGCAUCUGUGAAGGUGCUGCAUGGUUGUCGUCAGCUCGUGCCGUGAGGUGUCGGCUUAAGUGCCAUAACGAGCGCAACCCUUGUUGUCAGUUACUAACAGGUUCCGCUGAGGACUCUGACAAG
rnacentral:rRNA from 1 species